rnacentral:rRNA from 1 species
CAGUCUGCAUGGAGCCGGCCUUGAAAUACCACCCUUUAAUGUUUGAUGUUCUAACGUGGACCCGUGAUCCGGGUUGCGGACAGUGUCUGGUGGGUAGUUUGACUGGGGCGGUCUCCUCCUAAAGAGUAACGGAGGAGCACGAAGGUUGGCUAAUCCUGGUCGGACAUCAGGAGGUUAGUGCAAUGGCAUAAGCCAGCUUGACUGCGAGCGUGACGGCGCGAGCAGGUGCGAAAGCAGGUCAUAGUGAUCCGGUGGUUCUGAAUGGAAGGGCCAUCGCUCAACGGAUAAAAGGUACUCCGGGGAUAACAGGCUGAUACCGCCCAAGAGUUCAUAUCGACGGCGGUGUUUGGCACCUCGAUGUCGGCUCAUCACAUCCUGGGGCUGAAGUAGGUCCCAAGGGUAUGGCUGUUCGCCAUUUAAAGUGGUACGCGAGCUGGGUUUAGAACGUCGUGAGACAGUUCGGUCCCUAUCUGCCGUGGGCGCUGGAGAACUGAGGGGGGCUGCUCCUAGUACGAGAGGACCGGAGUGGACGCAUCACUGGUGUUCGGGUUGUCAUGCCAAUGGCACUGCCCGGUAGCUAAAUGCGGAAGAGAUAAGUGCUGAAAGCAUCUAAGCACGAAACUUGCCCCGAGAUGAGUUCUCCCUGAGACUUAGAGUCUCCUGAAGGAACGUUGAAGACGACGACGUUGAUAGGCCGGGUGUGUAAGCGCAGCGAUGCGUUGAGCUAACCGGUACUAAUGAACCGUGAGGCUUAACCUUACA